rnacentral:lncRNA from 1 species
CGGGCGGGGAGGGAAGAAGUGCUUCUUCCCUCCUCUCCGGUUCCCUCACCGCGGGCGGCCUUGUACACCCUGAGUUCAGUGGGCUGUGCGUCAGGAUUGAGGCUUUCUUGGAUUUUGGCUGUCCACGUCACUCAGAAAACAGGCAGGGGCCUCUUUGUGAACAUGAGAUCAGCCUACUGUGGGGAGCUCCAGGCCAGCCAGAACUACAAACAAGACCUAGAGGACAUGUAACCAUAAAGAGACUCAACACUCAGGAGGCAGAGGCAGGCAGACCUCUGUGAGUCUGAGUCCAGCCUGGUCUACAAAGCAAGUACCCUGACAGCCAGAACUACAAAGAGAAACCUUGUCUGGAAGAAGAGGAGGGGCAGGGUCUCAGUUCAAUUCUGAGGAUCUACAUGGGACUAAUAGCCACUGGUGACCACAGCUCCAGGCAAUGUGAUGCCCUCUUCUGGUCUCCACUGGUACAGCAUGCACACGGGGCACAAAUAUACAUGUGGG